CGCCCUCAGCGAUGGGCAGCGGUCUUUUUUAUCCUGACAUUGGUUAUAGGGGAUGUCGGAUCAACGGAUGGUUUGCAGGCCUCCCCGCUGCUGUAUGCGGCCGGAAGUUGGAAGCAGUAAAGUCAGUUGGAGACAACCCACCUGCGAGCUGUGCAGGUUAUAACGCGGCCGCUGCCCAUCGCUGAGCGCCC
rnacentral:other from 1 species